UACGUAGGGGGCUAGCGUUGUCCGGAAUCAUUGGGCGUAAAGCGCGCGUAGGCGGCCCGGUAAGUCCGUUGUAAAAGUCAAAGGCUCAACCUUUGAAAGCCGAUGGAUACUGCCGGGCUAGAGUCCGGAAGAGGCGAGUAGAAUUCCCGGUGUAGCGGUGAAAUGCGCAGAUAUCGGGAGGAACACCAAUGGCGAAGGCAGCUCGCUGGGACGUUACUGACGCUGAGACGCGAAAGCGUGGGGAGCAAACAGG
rnacentral:rRNA from 1 species